rnacentral:rRNA from 1 species
GAAUGAUCCCCCUUUAAUAAUAGUGGGGGUAUGCCACCAUUUAAAUCUUAGGUGUUGAGGGUGUCGCACACGGGAUUAACAGGCCCAAUUCUACGGGAGCAGCAGUCGGGAUCUAGCAAUGGGGCAGCCUGAUCUAGCAUGCCGCUGAGUGAUGAGGCCUAGGUCGUAAAGCUCUUNAUCUGUGAGAUAUGACGGUACAGUAGAAGAACCCGGCUAACUCCGUGCCAGCAGCUGCGGUAAUACGGAGGGGUUAGCGUUGUUCGGAAUACUGGCGUAAGCGUACGUAGGCGGAUAUCAAGUUAGAGGUGAAUCCCAGGCUCAACCCUGAACUGCCUUAAAACUGUAGUCUGAGAUCGAGAGAGGUGAGUGGAAUUCCAAGUGUAGAGGUGAAAUUAGUAGAUAUUGGAGGAACACCAGUGGCGAAGNCGGCUCACUGGCUCGAUACUGANGCUGAGGUACGAAAGUGUGGGAGCAAACAGGAUUAGAUACCCUGGUAGUCCACACCGUAAACGAUGAAUGCCAGACGUCAGCAAGCAUGCUUGUUGGUGUCACACCUAACGGAUUAAGCAUUCCGCCUGGGGAGUACGGUCGCAAGAUUAAAACUCAAAGGAAUUGACGGGGGCCCGCACAAGCGGUGGAGCAUGUGGUUUANUUNGACGCNACGCGCAGAACCUUACCAACCCUUGACAUACUUGUCGCGGAUUCCAGAGAUNGAUUCCUUCAGUUCGGCUGGACAAUGUACAGGUGCUGCAUGGCUGUCGUCAGCUCGUGUCGUGAGAUGUUCGGUUAAGUCCGGCAACGAGCGCAACCCACGUCCUUAGUUACCAGCAUUUAGUUGGGUACCCUAAGGAGACUGCCGGUGAUAAGCCGGAGGAAGGUGUGGACGACGUCAAGUCAUCAUGGCCCUUACGGGUUGGGCUACACACGUGCUACAAUGGCAUCUACAGUGAGUUAAUCUCCAAAAGAUGUCUCAGUUCGGAUUGGGGUCUGCAACUCGACCCCAUGAAGUNGGAAUCGCUAGUAAUCGCGGAACAGCAUGCCGCGGUGAAUACUGUUCACCGCGGCCUUGUACACACCGCCUCGUCACACCAUGGGCAAUUGGGUCUACCUCGACAGGUGGUGCGCCCAACNAUUCAUA